UAUGAGAGUUUGAUCCUGGCUCAGGACGAACGCUGGCGGCGUGCCUAAUACAUGCAAGUCGAACGCUUCUUUCCUCCCGAGUGCUUGCACUCAAUUGGAAAGAGGAGUGGCGGACGGGUGAGUAACACGUGGGUAACCUACCCAUCAGAGGGGGAUAACACUUGGAAACAGGUGCUAAUACCGCAUAACAGUUUAUGCCGCAUGGCAUAAGAGUGAAAGGCGCUUUCGGGUGUCGCUGAUGGAUGGACCCGCGGUGCAUUAGCUAGUUGGUGAGGUAACGGCUCACCAAGGCCACGAUGCAUAGCCGACCUGAGAGGGUGAUCGGCCACACUGGGACUGAGACACGGCCCAGACUCCUACGGGAGGCAGCAGUAGGGAAUCUUCGGCAAUGGACGGAAGUCUGACCGAGCAACGCCGCGUGAGUGAAGAAGGUUUUCGGAUCGUAAAACUCUGUUGUUAGAGAAGAACAAGGACGUUAGUAACUGAACGUCCCCUGACGGUAUCUAACCAGAAAGCCACGGCUAACUACGUGCCAGCAGCCGCGGUAAUACGUAGGUGGCAAGCGUUGUCCGGAUUUAUUGGGCGUAAAGCGAGCGCAGGCGGUUUCUUAAGUCUGAUGUGAAAGCCCCCGGCUCAACCGGGGAGGGUCAUUGGAAACUGGGAGACUUGAGUGCAGAAGAGGAGAGUGGAAUUCCAUGUGUAGCGGUGAAAUGCGUAGAUAUAUGGAGGAACACCAGUGGCGAAGGCGGCUCUCUGGUCUGUAACUGACGCUGAGGCUCGAAAGCGUGGGGAGCAAACAGGAUUAGAUACCCUGGUAGUCCACGCCGUAAACGAUGAGUGCUAAGUGUUGGAGGGUUUCCGCCCUUCAGUGCUGCAGCAAACGCAUUAAGCACUCCGCCUGGGGAGUACGACCGCAAGGUUGAAACUCAAAGGAAUUGACGGGGGCCCGCACAAGCGGUGGAGCAUGUGGUUUAAUUCGAAGCAACGCGAAGAACCUUACCAGGUCUUGACAUCCUUUGACCACUCUAGAGAUAGAGCUUUCCCUUCGGGGACAAAGUGACAGGUGGUGCAUGGUUGUCGUCAGCUCGUGUCGUGAGAUGUUGGGUUAAGUCCCGCAACGAGCGCAACCCUUAUUGUUAGUUGCCAUCAUUUAGUUGGGCACUCUAGCGAGACUGCCGGUGACAAACCGGAGGAAGGUGGGGAUGACGUCAAAUCAUCAUGCCCCUUAUGACCUGGGCUACACACGUGCUACAAUGGGAAGUACAACGAGUCGCUAGACCGCGAGGUCAUGCAAAUCUCUUAAAGCUUCUCUCAGUUCGGAUUGCAGGCUGCAACUCGCCUGCAUGAAGCCGGAAUCGCUAGUAAUCGCGGAUCAGCACGCCGCGGUGAAUACGUUCCCGGGCCUUGUACACACCGCCCGUCACACCACGAGAGUUUGUAACACCCGAAGUCGGUGAGGUAACCUUUUUGGAGCCAGCCGCCUAAGGUGGGAUAGAUGAUUGGGGUGAAGUCGUAACAAGGUAGCCGUAUCGGAAGGUGCGGCUGGAUCACCUCCUUUCUAAGGAAUAUUACGGAAAUACACAUUUCGUCUUUACUUUGUUCAGUUUUGAGAGGUCUACUCU
rnacentral:rRNA from 1 species